UGGUGUUCAUUGAGGUCUUCCUCUCAAUUUCUCUCUUUGUAUCACUAUCUUCGCAAGGUUGGUUGAUCUAUACUUCUGUUUAUACAUAACCCUUUUCAGUUUUUUAUUUCUGUUUCUGUUCUUCUGCAUUCUUUAUUGCUCAGUUUUUUUUGUUGUUUUUGAAUUCUUGCUGAAAUUCAAAUUCCAUUUUUUGCUUAUACACUCGUUACCUGAUCUGGGUCUCCCGGAUCUGGGACUAUUCACCACAGAACUCCUCAGAAAUGGACUAUUUUUCUCAUUUUAAGAUCUGGGUCUUGACCCUUAGC
rnacentral:misc_RNA from 1 species